UUUGGCGGGCCGCGGUCCUCCGCGGCCGCCCCCCUCCCCGGGGGGGUGGCCAGCGCCCGCCAGAGGACCAUCAAACUCCAGUCAGUAAACGAUGCAGUCUGAAAAACAUUUAAUAAACUAAAACUUUCAACAACGGAUCUCUUGGUUCUGGCAUCGAUGAAGAACGCAGCGAAAUGCGAUAAGUAAUGUGAAUUGCAGAAUUCAGUGAAUCAUCGAAUCUUUGAACGCACAUUGCGCCCUUUGGUAUUCCGAAGGGCAUGCCUGUUCGAGCGUCAUUACAACCCUCAAGCUCUGCUUGGUAUUGGGCACCGUCCUUUGCGGGCGCGCCUCAAAGACCUCGGCGGUGGCGUCUUGCCUCAAGCGUAGUAGAACAUACAUCUCGCUUCGGAGCGCAGGGCGUCGCCCGCCGGACGAACCUUCUGAACUUUUCUCAAGGUUGACCUCGGAUCAGGUAGGGAUACCCGCUGAACUUA
rnacentral:rRNA from 1 species